rnacentral:misc_RNA from 1 species
UACGGGAGUGGCAAGCGUUAUCCGGAAUCAUUGGGCGUAAAGCGUCCGCAGGUGGCUUUGUAAGUCUGCCGUUAAAGCGUGGAGCUCAACUCCAUUUCAGCGGUGGAAACUACAAAGCUUGAGUGUGGUAGGGGCAGAGGGAAUUCCCGGUGUAGCGGUGAAAUGCGUAGAUAUCGGGAAGAACACCAGUGGCGAAGGUGCUCUGCUGGGCCAUAACUGACACUCAUGGACGAAAGCCAGGGGAGCGAAAGGG